GGCGCACGGGUGAGUAACGCGUGGGUAUCUGCCCUGGAGUGGGGGACAACUGCUGGAAACGGCAGCUAAUACCGCAUACGCCCUUAGGGGGAAAGCUUUAUGCGCUCCAGGAUGAGCCCGCGUCGGAUUAGCUUGUUGGUGAGGUAACGGCUCACCAAGGCAACGAUCCGUAGCUGGUCUGAGAGGAUGAUCAGCCACACUGGGACUGAGACACGGCCCAG
rnacentral:rRNA from 1 species